GACAACGCUGGCGGCGUGCCUAACACAUGCAAGUCGAGCGAAUGAAGUUCCUUCGGGAACGGAUUUAGCGGCGGACGGGUGAGUAACACGUGGGCAACCUGCCUCAUAGAGGGGAAUAGCCUUCCGAAAGGGAGAUUAAUACCACAUAAGAUUGUAGUACCGCAUGGUACAGCAAUUAAAGGAGCAAUCCGCUAUGAGAUGGGCCCGCGGCGCAUUAGCUAGUUGGUGAGGUAAACGGGCUCACCAAGGCGACGAUGCGUAGCCGACCUGANAGGGUGAUCGGCCACAUUGGGACUGAGACACGGCCCCAGACUCCUACGGGAGGCAGCAGUGGGGAAUAUUGCACAAUGGGGGAAACCCUGAUGCAGCAACGCCGCGUGAGUGAUGACGGCCUUCGGGUUGUAAAGCUCUGUCUUCAGGGACGAUAAUGACGGUACCUGGGGAGGAAGCCACGGCUAACUACGUG
rnacentral:rRNA from 1 species